CGUUGGCCAUCCCCGACGUUGACGUCAACGCCGUCGUCGCCUCGUCCUGUACCUCCCACGGCCUUAUCCUGCCCAGCGCCCUCUCCUUCCUCUCCCUUUCUUCUUCCUCGAGCAGAGCUCGAACGAGCUCGGGCAGCUCGCGUUCCGCUGGCCAAAUCCCUGGCCUCCGCUCCACCCUCUUCAAAUCACUCGCACCCGAAGCUCCCUCACCUCCCUAGCUCCCUCCCCAGCCCCUUGGAACUGAGCUCCGACCGCCUGUAUAGCCGGGAAUCGCGGAUCCUCUGGCCACCGGCCAUCCAUGGCCAUCGAGCCCCACCUCGACGUCGAACUCCAUCGUCUGGCCACCGUUUUCUUCGUCCAGCGGCUCAAAUCGAAGCUAGGUAUAGAAGCUAACCAGGAUUAACAUCGGUGGGCUCGAUGUGACGUCCUCACGUCUCCGUAGUUAUCGUUUUACUUCAUUUUAUUUCAGUUGGUUUCUAAUGAAAAUCUUCCUCUGGUUAGACUCUCUCUACCGCUGCUAUUAUCUAUUAUGUGAACUUUAAUUUGUAAAAGUCAUUUUGUAAAUAUCUUAAUAUUGUUUACUAUUUUGUAAAAUUGUAUCAUGCUGGUACC